GGCUCGGUAGCUUAGUUGGUAAAGCACUUGUCUAUCGAAUAAGGGUCGUGAGUUCAAAUCUCACCUGAGCUG
rfam:Aedes albopictus isolate Foshan contig77571, whole genome shotgun sequence.